rnacentral:rRNA from 1 species
UACGGAGGGUGCAAGCGUUGUCCGGAAUCACUGGGCGUAAAGGGCGCGUAGGCGGCUCAUGAAGGCUGUGGUGAAAGCCCUGGGCUCAACCUGGGAAUGGCGAUGGAUACUGGCUCGCUAGAGUGCGGUAGAGGAGAGUGGAAUUCCCGGUGUAGCAGUGAAAUGCGUAGAGAUCGGGAGGAACAUCAGUUGCGAAGGCGGCUCUCUGGACCAGCACUGACACUGAGGCACGAAAGCGUGGGGAGCAAACAGG